GACGAACGCUGGCGGCGUGCUUAACACAUGCAAGUCGAACGAAGAGCGAUGGAAGCUUGCUUCUAUCAAUCUUAGUGGCGAACGGGUGAGUAACGCGUAAUCAACCUGCCCUUCAGAGGGGGACAACAGUUGGAAACGACUGCUAAUACCGCAUACGAUCUAAUCUCGGCAUCGAGGAUAGAUGAACGGUGGCCUCUACAUGUAAGCUAUCACUGAAGGAGGGGAUUGCGUCUGAUUAGCUAGUUGGAGGGGUAACGGCCCACCAAGGCGAUGAUCAGUAGCCGGUCGGAGAGGAUGAACGGCCACAUUGGGACUGAGACACGGCCCAGACUCCUACGGGAGGCAGCAGUGGGGAAUCUUCCGCAAUGGACGAAAGUCUGACGGAGCAACGCCGCGUGAGUGAUGACGGCCUUCGGGUUGUAAAGCUCUGUUAAUCGGGACGAAAGGCCUUCUUGCGAAUAGUGAGAAGGAUUGACGGUACCGGAAUAGAAAGCCACGGCUAACUACGUG
rnacentral:rRNA from 1 species